GGAGAAGAAACUUAAUUUUUCUUGAAUCGGCAGUUCCAUUGCUACCUCUGAUGGUGGCUUCAUUUCCUGUCAUGGCGUUUCCUGAGUCUCAGACAGAAGCGAGCACUUAACGUGUGAAGUAGGAGUUGGAAUAUAGUACGGUGAUUGGUUGGUUUCGUUGUUACCGCCUCUUAUGGCGGCUUCAUUUCCUUUCCCGGAGUAAUGCAUGUUCUUUGUACUUUUGUCUGUAUACUGUAUUUAUUUUUCCCAAUUUGAACUAUAAAAUGGUGAUUUUCUUGAGUCAAAAUGAGAGUACCCCUGAACAUUUUUUAAGGGGGGAAAAGCACUGACUUCAAGUAUGGAGUGAUAGUAGCUAUGUAGCCUAAAUGGGCCUGCUAAAAAGGAACAGAUGUCAGCAUUCUCAGGGUGCCCCAAGGUUGGAAGGAGGGGAAAAAAAUAUCCGGGGGGGGGAACCACCCCAGAGAAUAAGUUCAAGGAGGGCUGAAGAUGCUCCAUGGCCACAGAAUACUAAGCUUCCGUUGUGCAGGAGGAAAGUAAAACCAAUGGGGAAAGGGAGUUUCUCAAAGAAAGCUAUAGUUGACUGGCUGGAGCGCUAAACAGAAGCAUUCCACACAUGGGGUGCUGGUCCCAGGCUUUUGUCUGCCCCGAGGCAUAGGGCGGCCCUGAUCCUCUGGUGACUCGCCGCUCCUGGCCUGGAGGCGAGCACUCCUCCUGCGGGAACUUAGUUCCCUCCGCCUCUCUGCCUUGAGCCUCUGCAGCUCAGGAGAGGCUGGAGGGUUACCAGACCCAGAGGCAAUCCCAGCUUCCCCUGACGGGGCUGAGAGUGGAGCACCUGCAGGCAAUGGGUCCUCCAUCACCUCAGGAACCAGAGCAGACUCAGCUGGCACCUGCACCUGAGGAUCCAGCACAGGUGAGGACCCUUCAGGCUCAAGCCCCAGCCCCGGCUCAGCUGGCUCUGGAGGCGGGGAAUCCUGUGCAGGCUGGGAUUCCUCAGGUUCAGCAUCUGAAUCCGAAUCCCAGGCCAUCACACAUGGCAUAAUAAGAAAGAUGCCUAGAUCUCUGUAAUCCUUGAGUUUUCCAAGGAGGAAAGCAGUGGCGUGUGGGCAUUGGAGGGGAAUGAAUAGUAUUCACAGGACUCGCAGCAGCAGCAGCAGCAGCUGUUUAUAUCAUUUUAUUAAUUUGUUAGUAGUAUUUUAAAAUAAAGCAUUCAUGCAAUCCUUUCUGUGAGUACAUUUCACAAGCUGUAUAAAUGGAAAGACUAAGUGACCCUUGUUCAACACUUGUCACCUGCAAUAAAGUAGUAGGGAAUGGAAGUGUUUGGGAAGGGAAUUUUUCUCACAAGCUCUGCAAAUAAAACACACUUCCAAGUAAUCUUUUUACCAUGCUCUUGAGUUAUGUGCAGCAAUAUUUAUUUCUUGGCAGCUUCACCUGUAAGCAUUUUCUUUGUCACCAAAAGAAGCUUUAUUUACUGGUUUUAUUCAAGGCGUCAUUUGAUCCAGGUGUUUGCUAGUAAUCAUAUCUAGGCAUUAAAUUGCCAGGACUCUUGUGGCAGUUUUAGAUGCCACUGGAAAUCACCGUUGAAGAUCUCUCUCUAAGGAGAGACUCCAGCUGUAGAAUCAUUUGGCUGAGGCCUCUAAAUCAAUGUUCUCCGUACUUUAAAAUGAUAUUUAAGAAAGAUAUCCCGUGUAGAUUUGGAUCCCACAGAGCUCCUGUGAAGUUUUUCUUUACACCAUGAUGCUUUCAAAGGAUGCCAUAGAGUGUAAUAAAUUGCCAACACUAUUAGUAAUUUUAGAAAAACAGCUUCCGGUGAUUUCAGAUGUUUGUGACAGAAUGCUAGGUUUCACACUAUGCAGUAGCCUAUCCAGUCAUUUGGGUGAAUAAUAAUAAUAAUACAAAUUAUAAUUAUACACAUAUUCUUUAUUACGGUCCAAAGACCCACAAAAACAGUUUCAAAAGCAAAAUGCAGCAGAGAUACAGGGAAAAGAUUCCCAGGCAAUCACUAUGUUUUAUCCUGAGUGUGUUGAUUUCUAUUUCUUAUUACCUCCUAGAGAAAUUUUGCCACAGCCAGGGUAAUAUCUGGAAAUUUACCUUCUCAAAGAAUUAUAAUAAUUAUUAUCAGUACUAUUUUUCUAGAAAACAAGGUGCUGAAACUCACCAGGAAUGCCUCCCUUGGUCUCUUACAAUGGCAAUGGCGCCCAUCUUGAGUUCCGGCUGAAUAAAGCCCUGAUUAUUAUUGCUAUAAAAUCAAUUUACAUAGCACUUAAAUUCCAGAAUGUUUAUUUGGGGUUAGACAUCAGUGGCCCUCAUUCUAUGGAAACCAAACCUGGGGUAUGUGCUUUCACCCCUGAAAUCUCUCACCGCUCAGAAAUUGGGAGAGAACAUAACGGUUUGUUGUUGCAUGCCCCCGGACAUUCCUAGCUCUGUGAAAAGGUCACAGGAAACUAUCACAGUGUUCUUUGUUUUUGUUUUUUGUUUUAAAUAAUCUCAGACAGUAAAACUACUUCAGCAAGAAAAUAUAAUGGGAAUUAAGGGAAUUGUGUGAAAUUGCUUAGUUCUUGCUUCAACCAUUUUAUUAACUUGUCUUAAUUGGAGGUAUUGACAGUAUUGCGUGUCGAGGUCCCCAAGCCACCCUCAAAUAAACACAUUUCACACAGAAUUUUAGUUUGUUUUUGGCAUAAUUUUGGCCGCAACUUUAUUAAAAAUACAAAAAAAUGAGUGGUUUUGCUUAGGCAUUUGUUGCGACUAUGUCCUCGCCCAGGGACAGAACUAACAUCUGCACGCCUGCGGAAAUCAGAAAGGGAAAACAAUUUUGGGGAGAAAAUGGAGCUGGGUGCCAGGCCCUCACCUUUCCCCAAAUGCUCCCAGGGGCUCUUGCAUGGCCCUAGCCCCUUGACAGGGGUUCAGACAAGAGCAUGGCGAGCCCCUGGAUUCCUUAAACAGAAUACCCUUGCAGCUUUGGAGGGGCAGGCACAGCCAAUCCAUGCCCCAACCAAUUCAUAAAACCAAUGCCUAACCGCCAAUCAAGCUCCAAAGCUUGCUGCCUACCACUCACAUAUGCAACCAUACCUUCAACCCCAACACAACAGCUUUCAACCAGGUGUCAUUCCACAAUGGAGAAAGAUGUACCCCAUCAUCCCUAUAAAGGGCAACAGCCUUGAAGGUAAUAUCCGGGUGCAAAAUCAAAGACCCGCCCAAUGCAAUAACCUUUUUGGCGGCUGCACUAUCAGUGCGCUUUCUAGCCUUCUCGGUGGCAGCUGAGCAACAACUAUCACGCCACGUAUGCCUCUGCAGCAGCUGCGACCAAAUUUUUUUUACAUCUGGCAAAAAGGCCGCCAACUCCACCAAGUCUUUUUGAAUUGAGGAACGUAAGGUGAAGAAAUCUGAGGCAGACAAAUCAUUUUCUCCCAGGUGCAGCAAAAUUGCCAUAGGGGGGCCCUCCAAACACACACGCUUUUGAACCAUUGGGAUUAAUUCAGCCCACUGCAUUCCACGUCUGGAGGGGCAUAAUCCGUGGCCGGAUAGCCACACACUGCAAUAACCCUGCACAUCACUUUUGCAAACUGAUGCCUUGUCAACGGGAUGCCAUUCUCAUGAAUUAACAGUGGACCAUCCCCAGGAUGUCCAAGGGCCAAGUACCUGGAGGUGUCUGUCACAGGGCAAGGGCCCUCCCUCCCAGUAGCAGGAAGCCAAAUAGCAGCCCCUCUACCCAGCUGGUCAGUUUUUGAAUUCCUAAUCAUCAGCAAUACCUCCAAGGGGGACCAGAUGACAUCCUGCAAUAGCAAACCCCUAGAGUUCCUACCCCAAGAAACUUCCAGGACCACUGUCACAGUCCAGUCUACGGGCGAUCAAAGUCCCAGCUGAGGACGUCGGGACCGGGGCGCAGGGUGGGAGCAGGAAUGAGAGUCCAGAAGUCAGGGGUCCGAGGAUCAAGCAGGGAGCCAGGAAGCUUGAGGUCCGAGGACCAGGAAGCAAGAAGUCAAGAAGCCAAAGGCAGGAAGUGUGUUGCUGUGGCAAAGAGCCGAAGGGAAAUUGUGCUGGUCCCGUGGCUAACCGAGAGGUGAGGUCCGAGUCCAGUCCGAAGUUGAAGGUGCAGUAUGAAGGCAGUCUGUAAAAGUUGAAUCUGGAUGCAGGGCAGGUAGUCGGGUGAGGUCAGGAGCUCCAGCAGGAUAGGGUUCAGGCAGGAACUAUCAACCAACGAAGUUGCUCCCACAACUUGGGACUGGGGCUGGCUGGCUUUCAUCUGCCCUGAGGCACAGGACGGACCCGAUCCUCAGGUGACUUGCCUCUCCUGGCCUGGAGGUGAGCACUCCUCUUGCGGGAACUUAGUUCCCUCCGCUUCUCUGCCCUGAGCCUCUGCAGCUCAGGUGAGGCUGGAGGGUUACCGGACCCAGAGGCAACCUCAGCUUCCUCUGACGGGGCUGAGAGUGGAGCACCUGCAGGCAAUGGGUCCUCCACCCCCUCAGAAGCACGAGCAGACUCAGCUGGUGCCUGCACCUGAGGAUCCAGCACAGGUGAGGACCCUUCAGGCUCAUGCCCCACCCCCGGCUCAGCUGGUUCUGGAGGCGGGGAAUCCUGUGCAGGCUGGGAUUUUUCAUGUUCAGCAUCUGAAUCUGAAUCCCAGGCCAUCACAGAAAUGCUGACCUUAUAUCCCUUCCCGGCUCUUGCCACCAGGUGCUGUGAGUUACCAAUUGGCCUCACCUGUGUGGCCGUACCUUGCCUCUUCAAUAGAGGCGGUGAAGAAAGUCUUCGCCGUCGCUAUCGCCACUUGGUAGGUUCGACGUUGAGCUCUAACCUGUGUCCGGGGGUUUGGGCUGGGUGUCCAUCAAUAUGCAAGGCAGUUUCAGUCCCAUGAUGAGGCCUGAAUCCCGAUUGAAAGGGAUCCAAAUGGUCCGCAUCCUCCAGGCGUGCCUGGAGUUGUCCGGGCUCCAUGCAAUCGGAGAGGGUGCUUCGGAGCCAGACAGUUGAUAGCCCUGGUUAACUCCGCAUUCCAGCGGGCCACCAGGGAAUCAGCUGAAAGUCCAUCAACAUGGGAUAAAGCAUCCCCUACCACUCUCUGGAAACCAUUUGGAUCCAUUAAGCGGCGGGAGCAGACCAUCCGAAUUGGUCCCACCUCCCUGCAGAGGGGAAGGGUCGCGGAGAAGUCCAGUUGCACCAGGAAAUGAUCUGACCAUGGCACUUCUUUUCUUUCACUUUUACUUAGUGUCAGAUCACCCACAUCACUAGAGGUGAACACCAGGUCUAAGACACGUCCAUGACUAUGAGUUGGGCCAAACUUAUUCAGGGACAGCCCCAUGGAGGCCAUGCUUUCCACGAAGUCCCGAGCGGCCCCUUGUAAGGUCGUGUCGGCAUGGAUGUUAAAAUACCCUAGGGCAACCAAACUCGGUGUCUCCAGGAGAACAUCCGCCACGACCUGAAGCAGCUCGGACAGGGAAUCCUUGGUGCAGCGGGGAGGUCAGUGCACCAAAAGGAAUCCUGUACUGCCCCUAUUGCCCAACUUCCAGAACAUGCACUCAGAGAACUGGGUCUUCCCAGUAGGAUGCCUGAUGCAAGCUAAUGACUUCCUAAAAAUCACUGCAACCCCCCUCCCCGCCCACAUGACCUGGGUUGCUGUGUGUAAGAGAAACCUGGUGGGCAAGCAGCGGCAAGGACAGGCCCACAAGGUCUCUGUCACACAUGCCAGGGCAAAUCCUCCAUCCACAAUCAGGUCAUGGAUGGCAGUGGUUUUAUUCAUCAUUGACCUGGCACUACACAGCAACACCUUCCGGUCACGUGGGUUCCCCCUGUUGAUUCCAGUAUCCAUCUAGUCAAGGCCAGACGCGGAGGCAGGGAUAGUCUUCAAACAACGACUAAACCUGCCUCCUCGGUAAAUGACAUUAGCGUAACUCCUCCUGCCCAUGAUCACCGAGAUCGGAUGUCCCAGUGCUCCCCCGCCCAUGGAACUUGUCCCAACCAUUGUGUUGGCUGGGGCCCCACUCCCAGGCAGCCGUGAUCCCACCCCUU